rnacentral:rRNA from 1 species
UGGCGGGAUGGCUUACACAUGCAAGUCGAACGGUAACAGGUCUUCGGAUGCUGACGAGUGGCGAACGGGUGAGUAACACAUCGGAACGUGCCCGAUCGUGGGGGAUAACGCAGCGAAAGCUGUGCUAAUACCGCAUACGAUCUACGGAUGAAAGCGGGGGAUCGCAAGACCUCGCGCGGACGGAGCGGCCGAUGGCAGAUUAGGUAGUUGGUGGGAUAAAAGCUUACCAAGCCGACGAUCUGUAGCUGGUCUGAGAGGACGACCAGCCACACUGGGACUGAGACACGGCCCAGACUCCUACGGGAGGCAGCAGUGGGGAAUUUUGGACAAUGGGCGCAAGCCUGAUCCAGCCAUGCCGCGUGCAGGAUGAAGGCCUUCGGGUUGUAAACUGC